rnacentral:rRNA from 1 species
GACGAACGCUGGCGGCGUGCUUAACACAUGCAAGUCGAACGGAAAGGCCCUGCUUUUGUGGGGUGCUCGAGUGGCGAACGGGUGAGUAACACGUGAGUAACCUGCCCUUGACUUUGGGAUAACUUCAGGAAACUGGGGCUUAUACCGGAUAGGAGCUCCUGCUGCAUGGUGGGGGAUGGAAAGUUUCGGCGGUUGGGGAUGGACUCGCGGCGUAUCAGCUUGUUGGUGGGGUAGUGGCUUACCAAGGCUUUGACGGGUAGCCGGCCUGAGAGGGUGACCGGCCACAUUGGGACGGAGAUACGGCCCAGACUCCUACGGGAGGCAGCAGUGGGGAAUAUUGCACAAUGGGCGGAAGCCUGAUGCAGCAACGCCGCGUGCGGGAUGACGGCCUUCGGGUUGUAAACCGCUUUCGCCUGUGACGAAGCGUGAGUGACGGUAAUGGGUAAAGAAGCACCGGCUAACUACGUG